AUUGAACGCUGGCGGCAGGCCUAACACAUGCAAGUCGAACGGUAACAGGAAGCAGCUUGCUGCUUUGCUGACGAGUGGCGGACGGGUGAGUAAUGUCUGGGAAACUGCCCGAUGGAGGGGGAUAACUACUGGAAACGGUAGCUAAUACCGCAUAACGUCGCAAGACCAAAGAGGGGGACCUUAGGGCCUCUUGCCAUCGGAUGUGCCCAGAUGGGAUUAGCUAGUAGGUGGGGUAACGGCUCACCUAGGCGACGAUCCCUAGCUGGUCUGAGAGGAUGACCAGCCACACUGGAGCUGAGACACGGUCCAGACUCCUACGGGAGGCAGCAGUGGGGAAUAUUGCACAAUGGGCGCAAGCCUGAUGCAGCCAUGCCGCGUGUAUGAAGAAGGCCUUCGGGUUGUAAAGUACUUUCAGCGGGGAGGAAGGGAGUAAAGUUAAUACCUUUGCUCAUUGACGUUACCCGCAGAAGAAGCACCGGCUAACUCCGUG
rnacentral:rRNA from 1 species